rnacentral:rRNA from 1 species
GAUCCUGGCUCAGGAUGAACGCUAGCUACAGGCUUAACACAUGCAAGUCGAGGGGCAGCAUGGUCUUAGCUUGCUAAGGCCGAUGGCGACCGGCGCACGGGUGAGUAACGCGUAUCCAACCUGCCUUACACUCUUGGACAGCCUUCUAGAAAGGGAGAUUAAUACAAGAUGUUAUCAUGAGUAAGCUAUUUUCGCAUGUAAUUUAAAGGUUUACCGGUGUAAGAGUGGGGAUGCGUU